GACUUGGCUGUGCUGGGUUAAUGGCUGGACUCAUUGAUCUUAAAGAUCUUUCCCAACCUAAAAUGACACUAUGGUUUUAUGCCACCCCACAGAAGACACCCUAGAUUACCUGUACACAUCAGCCCAGCUAGAAACCCAUUAUGGAGUUUAUUAAAAAGGGAUAAGAUGUAGACUUAGGUAGAGCGCCAGAGCUGUGUGUGGGGCAGAGCUUUAGCAUGGAGCUGUAGCUCUCAGUGUUGCUGUGGACAGACAUGGGACCAUACUGCUGAAUCCACCACAGCUCCAGUUACUGACUCUUUCCACUGCUGCACUUUUACAUCUGCCUUCAGCUGCUGUGAUUGAAGCAAACUGACACAAAAAUGUAGCUCCUGAUCUCCAAUUUACCUCUUCAGCCCCCUUCUGCCUCCUAACACUGAACCUCUCCAGGCCCCAAGAUGAGUAGUAAUCAUGGUGCUAUUAAUGUGACAGCCAGCAGCCUCCUCUUACUUCACCCAACCUUGCAUGGAUUCCUUGAUAUUAGACGUAAAGCUUCAGAUCAA